rnacentral:rRNA from 1 species
AGAGUUUGAUCCUGGCUCAGAUUGAACGCUGGCGGCAUGCCUUACACAUGCAAGUCGAACGGCAGCACGGGAGCAAUCCUGGUGGCGAGUGGCGAACGGGUGAGUAAUACAUCGGAACGUGUCCUGUUGUGGGGGAUAGCCCGGCGAAAGCCGGAUUAAUACCGCAUACGACCUACGGGUGAAAGCGGGGGACCGCAAGGCCUCGCGCUACAGGAGCGGCCGAUGUCAGAUUAGCUAGUUGGUGGGGUAAAGGCCUACCAAGGCGACGAUCUGUAGCUGGUCUGAGAGGACGACCAGCCACACUGGGACUGAGACACGGCCCAGACUCCUACGGGAGGCAGCAGUGGGGAAUUUUGGACAAUGGGGGCAACCCUGAUCCAGCCAUGCCGCGUGCGGGAAGAAGGCCUUCGGGUUGUAAACCGCUUUUGUCGGGGAAGAAACGGUCUGCGCUAAUACCGCGGACUAAUGACGGUACCCGAAGAAUAAGCACCGGCUAACUACGUGCCAGCAGCCGCGGUAAUACGUAGGGUGCAAGCGUUAAUCGGAAUUACUGGGCGUAAAGCGUGCGCAGGCGGCUUUGCAAGACAGAUGUGAAAUCCCCGGGC